rnacentral:lncRNA from 1 species
GUUCUGAAGUUUGACCCGCUAGGGCAAUUAGCAGAGAGAGAGGUGUCUACUUUCUCCUGUCACACCACUUCAAGGUUGGAAAGAUUUGUAAGACUCCAGGGCCUUCAAGCUGUGAUCAGUCAGACGGUUCCUGAAACGGCUGGGAAAGAGGUGCUUUGGUGCCCAUCGAAGAGCGCAUGUCUGUGCAUAUCUAAGCCCUUCUUUGUACACAUACACGUUUACACAGGAAGACAGGCUCACUCUGGCGCACACUUGAAGAGUUUUACAACUGAUGAAAAUUAAUGCAAGACUCAGAUGGAGCAACCUGACGCUGUGGGGCUCAGGAGCCCGGGGGGAGGAGGACACUACUAGUGGUCAGUUUUCCACGCGCUCUUCGCGGUUGAAGAAAGUUUGCAGAAAGAAGAAAAGGAAACUUGCUCAGCUCAAGCCUCAGAAGCACCUCCCCAGGUGGUUUUGGUGA